UGCGUAGGCGGGUCUUUAAGUCAGGGGUGAAAUCCUGGAGCUCAACUCCAGAACUGCCCUUGAUACUGAGGAUCUUGAGUUCGGGAGAGGUGAGUGGAACUGCGAGUGUAGAGGUGAAAUUCGUAGAUAUUCGCAAGAACACCAGUGGCGAAGGCGGCUCACUGGCCCGAUACUGACGCUGAGGCACGAAAGCGUGGGGGAGCAAACA
rnacentral:rRNA from 1 species